CAGUAGCUCAGUUGGAUAGAGCAACGGCCUUCUAAGCCGUGGGUCGGGGGUUCGAAUCCCUUCUG
rnacentral:tRNA from 1 species